rnacentral:rRNA from 1 species
CACGUAGGCGGCUUUGCAAGUCGGAUGUGAAAUCCCCGGGCUCAACCUGGGAACUGCAUUCGAGACUGCUUUGCUUGAGUAUGGGAGAGGGAGGCGGAAUUUCCGGUGUAGCGGUGAAAUGCGUAGAUAUCGGAAGGAACAUCAGUGGCGAAAGCGGCCUCCUGGACCAAUACUGACGCUCAUGUGAAGCGUGGGAGGCAAACA